UAAUAAUAAUAAUAAUAAUAACAAACAACAUGUUCAUAGAUUAUAUAUUUUCUAUAUAUUACAAAUUAGUUUCAAUACAUUAUAAUUUUUUUUCAGCAUUUCAUACAUAUUAGGCAUUUUUUAUUAAAAGACAAGUAUAAUAGUAAUAAUAACAAACAAUAUUUCAUAGAUUAUAUAGUUUUAAAUAACAGAAUUAUCCUUAAA
rnacentral:lncRNA from 1 species